UUCGUCUUCCUCUCCUCGCACACGCAACCUUUGCCUCCACUCCCUCGCCUCUUCCCCUUCUUCUCCUCGACAUCUCCACGAGUGGGGGAAUAACGAACUCGAGCUUGGCGACAGGGAUUCGAGCGCCAGCACUCCAUCUCCGGCGGAGGGGUUGCGCGCGGGUGGCGGCGAUUUCGAUCUGUGUGUGCCUCGUUGCUGGAGGCGGCCGCCCGAUCCAGCAACUGGUGAAGCAACUCCCGACCAGCGACCAUCCCUCCUCGCCCGCGUCUCUGCCCCGCACUCGUUUCGCCAGCAACCUCGACUAGAUCGGCAUCUGGUGCAGGAGGCUCGGGGUGGUUGUGGGCCUCGUGGCGGCGGCCUCCUCAGCGGCGUCGCCGGACAACCUCCACGCGCGGAGGAGGCAUCUCCACGGGUUCCCUGAGCCCAACCAUGGAGGAUGGGACGAGAAUGUUUGUGGCCAGCUAGUGGAUGCGAGUCGGAGCAGCGAGACUCCCGCCUAUGCCUCGCGCGGCUCGGAGAGACGCUGAGCUCCAAUGACCCAUGGACGCGCCGGCCAGUGCGGGUGGCCCGCUCGAUGCUUUCAGCCAGAGAUUCACAGGAAGCUCGCGACGUUGCUACCCUCCAUCUCCCUCACACACGACUUACGCCGUCGCCAGGAUCCCCAGUUUCUUCCUGUACUAGUGCUGCUAGCUCGUUGGCGACGGUUAUGACGCCAUAUGUGGCUUCACUCGGCCCCUCGUCCCCGGCAGCAGCCUUCUUGACGGAUUAAAUCAUGUUAUCUUGCUAUUUGCUUCCAAGCCUAAAUAUUUCUCAUCCAUACAUGAUUUUAUCUAUAAGUUUGGUCGCGACAUCGAUUGCCUAUCUUGACAACAUUGGUGCUGAAGUUAUCGAGCCUCCAAAGAAUGGGAUAUUCAAAUGUCACAGAACUCGUCGGUGAUGUUAUCGAGCAUUCAGGGAAACCAAAUGUCAUAGUUUCUACAAAUGUGCAUGAGAUAUUGGAAUGCCCUGUGUGUUUGGUUCCCAUGUAUCCUCCAAUUCAUCGGUGCUCCAAUGGUCAAACCAUUUGUUCUGAAUGCAAGCCAAGGGUUCAUAAUGGCCGCCCAACUUGCAGGAGUGAAUUGGGUAACAUAAGAUGCCCUGCUUUGGAGAAGGUUGGCGCCUCUCUAGAGUUUAUGUCCAAGUUCCAGAACUUUGGAUGCUUGCGAAUGUAUCCUUAUUAUUGCAAGUUAAAACAUGAAUCAGAGUGCCAAUACAGACCCUAUACUGGCCCAUAUGCAGGUUUUAGGUUUUGUUGAUUUAUGUGAUGGAAUCUUGAUAUGUAGCAUGACUUCCGUCCUGGACAGUUGCCGGGAAUGCAUCGAGAAAAUGCAACAUGAAUUGAUGUUUGAAGUUACAGCCUUACAGGAGCAUCAACACAAAUUUGCAACGACGAAGUUUAUACCAUGCUUGUGUAGUCAGUCUGAAGCAUUUGCCUUUGGAAUUAAAGAAGAUCAGAGUAUGACACUGACCUGAGAUCAUACGAAGCGGUGAGCUAAUUAUGUUGUACUGUGCUUCAUGCUUUUCUUUCAUAGUCUGCGUCAUAAAAUUUUCCCUAUAGAUUUCAGUGCUAGCAAAUAUGCUAAAGACAUACAGAGAAGGCAAUCAGUGCAGUGGAUUCCAAUAUUGAUGCGAGAAAAACGCCUUUGGGUUGAAGCCCACUUACUGAUAUUCUCAUGGUCUCUCUCUGUGUGUGUAGCUAUUCCUAUUUGUGAUUAUCAUCUUGUAGGAUGUUAACCAGUACCUUACCUUUGACUUCCAUUCAAAGUUGAAGCGAUUAUUACUUAUCUAUUUAUCUGUUUCAAUGAAUAAGCCCACUUACUAAUAUUCUCAAGGUCUUUUAACAAAUAUAUAUACCAUCGGCUUGACGGCGAGGAGGGAAGCCCCGCAGAUCGAGGAGGACGGCGCGACGACUGUGCUGUAGGUCAAGAGCAUGGUCAUGUCAUGGUACCGCAUAUCGGUGGUGGUCCGCUUGCCUGCUAUGGCGUCCAACACGACUACACCCUUUUACUUGGCCUGCUAUUUGAUUGGGAGGGUGCUCUUUUGCUUUAAAGACAUGAUUGGUCGAUGUAUUUGGUUUUAUGAUGGCCAGGUUGAGCAAAAUCACAUGUUUUUUUUUUCAAGUUUGAGAAGAAAAAGACAACGGAACAGUCUGAUAAAGUAGAUCUAUGCUAGCAACUAGCAUCAUCAUUCUUUGUGCUGGAUUGGUCAAACGUUGGACAUUUGAAGAGAAGGAACUUCGUGUGAGAUUAAUAUCUUUCUGAUCAGUAGCAUCAUCCGUGACAAGGGUUUAUAAUGAAUGGCCAUUAGAAGAGAGGAAAGGACGGACAGAAGGUUUGCUACACAAUUGAAUAUGUUCCAUUAUUGAUUGAUUUUCAACAUUGGUGCAUCUGGGUCCCACGCUGUGGCGUGGACACGGUGGCCCUGCCGAAGCGGGUGUGGUCGAGCCACUGGAUGAUGUAGCCGGUGGCUCCAGUCACGCACAUCGGCUGGUCCUGCUCCGGCGAGCAGCCACCACCCUUCCUGUCCUGAUAUCGCCUUGCAUCUCCUUUAGGUGAGGGUGUUGGACGCGGAGCAGGGAGUAAAAAAUUGUGGAGCUGUCAGUCCGUAAACGCUCUUGCAAGAGUUUUACUUAUCCACACCCGAAAAGCAGCUAAGCUGCAGUUUGUUAGUGAUGUGCUACAGUUUC